GAAUGUGAAGCUAUUAUGACACUGAGCCCCUAACGGUAUAUAUGUUCACUCCGUAAAAAGAGGAAACCGUUUGGGAAUGCAAUAAGUGUAGUAAUGGUGGAUAAUCCCGGAGAGGUCAGCAUCAGUUACAAAGAAAAGAUUAGGGGUGCAAAAGGUAUGUCCUUCGUGGACUGCUUUAUAGAUGCACUACAAUUUUUCUGCUUUUGUUUGUGACUGAAGUGUACUUUUUAAAGGAAUUUGAGUCAUACUCUUGAAAAAGAGUAUUCAAUUUCUGUGAUGCUGACUGAAAUGGUUUCAACCGACCCGUCUUGAAACACGGACCAAGGAGUCUAACAUAUGUGCAAGUAUGCGGGUGACAAUCCUGUAUGCGAAAUGAAAGUAAGAGUAGGGAAAAGUUCAUUUUUUUGAUGUUCUUUGCACCUACGACCGACCAUGAUCUCAGAGAGAGGUUUGAGUUGGAGCAUAUCUGUUAGGA
rnacentral:rRNA from 1 species